GCUGGUGUAGCUCAGUUGGUAGAGCAGCUGACUUGUAAUCAGCCGGUCGGGGGUUCAACUCCUCUCACCAGCU
rfam:Teredinibacter turnerae T7901, complete genome.